rnacentral:rRNA from 1 species
GUGGGGAAUCUUGCGCAAUGGGCGAAAGCCUGACGCAGCCAUGCCGCGUGAAUGAUGAAGGUCUUAGGAUUGUAAAAUUCUUUCACCGGGGACGAUAAUGACGGUACCCGGAGAAGAAGCCCCGGCUAACUUCGUGCCAGCAGCCGCGGUAAUACGAAGGGGGCUAGCGUUGCUCGGAAUUACUGGGCGUAAAGGGCGCGUAGGCGGACAGUUUAGUCAGAGGUGAAAGCCCAGGGCUCAACCUUGGAAUUGCCUUUGAUACUGGCUGGCUUGAGUACGGGAGAGGUGAGUGGAACUCCGAGUGUAGAGGUGAAAUUCGUAGAUAUUCGGAAGAACACCAGUGGCGAAGGCGACUCACUGGCCCGUUACUGACGCUGAGGCGCGAAAGCGUGGGGAGCAAACAGGAUUAGAAACCCGGGUAGUCC